rnacentral:pre_miRNA from 1 species
GGGGGGAGCGCCAGAUCCUGGGCUGUGUCCCCGGUGCCCUGGGCUCCCCGGCCUGCGCCGCUGGAAUCGCACUCCCGGCCGUGCAGCCCCCC